GAUGAAGAACGUAGCGAAAUGCGAUAAUUAAUGUGAAUUGCAGAAUUCCGUGAAUCAUCGAGUCUUUGAACGCACAUUGCGCCUCAUGGCAUUCCGUGAGGCAUGCCCAUCUCAGCAUUAGAAAAUAUUCUCAAAUUUUAGUUUUGUGCUAAAAUUUGGAUCAUGUCAAGGAAGCUAUUACUAUUAUUGUGAUCGCUCUUUGGAAAUUGAUAGGUCUUUGAGUUGCUACUCAUAGAACGUGAUGAAUCUUUCUUCAUUCUAUUGUAAUUCACUCUGGUAGUCCUAAAACUUGUAUGCCUGUGGCAUAUCUUGUAAUUUGACCUGAGAUUGGGUAGGGAUACCUGCUGAACUUAAGCAUAUCAAUAAGCGGAGGA
rnacentral:misc_RNA from 1 species